rnacentral:rRNA from 1 species
UACGUAGGGUGCAAGCGUUGUCCGGAAUUAUUGGGCGUAAAGAGCUCGUAGGCGGUUUGUCGCGUCUGCUGUGAAAACUCAGGGCUUAACUCUGAGCUUGCAGUGGGUACGGGCAGACUAGAGUGCGGUAGGGGAGACUGGAAUUCCUGGUGUAGCGGUGAAAUGCGCAGAUAUCUGGAGGAACACCGGUGGCGAAGGCGGCAUCCUGGACCGGUAUUGACGCUGAUGCGCGAAAGCCAGGGGAGCAAACGGG